AAUCCAGAUGUUGUGUUAUAAUAGAGCAGGGUAGCUACGUGGUAUAUGUGUCCUAGUGAAGGUUAUGUUAUUAACUAUAAUCUUAAUGAACGAAAGUUGCCAAGAUGAAUGCGUCAUGGACGCUGUUCCGGAAGAUGUCAGCGAGAGAAGGUGUGUUUCCGGAAGACGUGGCUGUUGCUGCAGUGGCAGCUGUCAUCCAAAAUUAUUCUGAGAAGAGCUUUUUUGUUCUGCUUCUGUCUCAUCCAGCUACAUUAUCAAGAUGAUUUCUCUAACGGACUCCCAAAAGAUUGGAAUGGGAUUAACAGGCUUCGGCGUGUUUUUCCUCUUCUUCGGGAUGAUCCUGUUCUUUGACAAAGCACUUCUGGCUAUUGGAAAUAUUCUCUUUGUUGCUGGACUCUCCUUUGUCAUCGGCCUUGAGAGGACCUUCCGCUUCUUUUUCCAGAAGCACAAGAUGAAGGCCACCAGUUUCUUCCUGGGAGGAGUGUUUGUGGUGUUGAUUGGCUGGCCCAUUAUUGGAGUUUUGCUCGAGAUCUAUGGUUUUUUUCUCUUAUUCAGGGGCUUCUUUCCAGUGGUUGUAGGCUUUAUCAGGAGAAUACCAGUCCUUGGCUCCAUCCUAAACCUGCCCUUUAUCAGUGCAGAAGCUUGAGUACCCGGAGAGAACCUGCAAAUCCCACGCAGAAUGGCCCCAGUGGAUUUUAACAUAUGCGGACAAAGUGGGCGAGAGCAACACUAUGGUAUAACAGUGACUUUUUGUAACCAGAGAAAGUUGUUUGAUUAUAGGUUUUAUAAAGCAUCACAAUCUCCCAUGGUGCUGAGUAAAAGCACCUAAAUAUACAGAUCAGAUUCAGAUUUCCACAUUCAAGCAGACAAGGACUGUUUUUGUCUGUAACUUCAGUGGUCAGCACUACCAAUCACAGAUUCAUCACUGUAUCGCACCAUCAGUUUCUUACUGUCAACACUAAAGUCUCUACAAUAAAUGUUUCAAAUGCCAUCGAUCCCUUCGCCAUUGACUGCAUCUUGCGUUUAAAAGGAGGAUAGAAGACUCCCUCAAGGCCCGACUUUAUCUACAUGAUGUUCUUAAUCUGUGGAACUGUCAGAUAAAACUACCCAGUGCAAGGACAAGAAGUGGAAGUGCAUCCUGCCAUGUUUGCCACGUUUGUGCCUGUGCUUUAACCUAAUUUGCACAAAAGCUUUUAAAUCCAGGAUUUUGUUUACAGUUACACCCCCGUUCAGCUGUUGGAAUAUUUACUUUGUCCAUUUCUUUGUGAUUGUGUUCAGUGUUGGCUAGAAGUGUUUCUGUAUAAAUUAUUUUUUAAAUAUGAUCGCUUGACUUUAUCUGUUAUGAGUGGCAGUCUGUCUACUCGUUCGUUGGGAUAGACACAGUUCUCGAGUUAAGUGUUCAAAGACAAUGUUCAUGCAACACACAAGUUAAGGACACAUUGGAUCUUGAUGAAUUAAUAUUCAAAUUGUAAAUCCUUACUGACGCACAAAAUAGUUUUAUACCAAAAUCAUAUACUGUUUGAGAGCUAGGAUUUAAAAUUACAACAAAAGUUUAAAUUAUUUUCUGCCUUUUUUUUUUAGCUUUUAUGAUUUACUUGUUUUUUGUUUGUUUGUUUUUUUUAAUAACCGGUAGUAGGAAAUGUUGUUGGGUGACUGCUAUUAGACAUUUAAACAGAAGAUGACAUGCUACUAACUAUAGGCAUCAGACCUGUGAUAUUAGAUGUUGCUAAAUAAAUAAGAGAAGGCUACAAAGCCAAACAGGAUUAUUAUCAAUAAAAACUUCUGUGUGGAACUGAAAAAAUACUAUUACAAAAUAAAAAAGGAAACAACUUUCCCCAGCUGGGCCAGAUAAAGCUAAGGCA